AUUGAACGCUGGCGGCAGGCUUAACACAUGCAAGUCGAGCGAGCGGCGGACGGGUGAGUAAUGUCUGGGAAACUGCCUGAUGGAGGGGGAUAACUACUGGAAACGGUAGCUAAUACCGCAUACCAUCAGAUGUGCCCAGAUGGGAUUAGCUAGUAGGUGGGGUAAUGGCUCACCUAGGCGACGAUCCCUAGCUGGUCUGAGAGGAGGACCAGCACAACGGGCACGGAGACACGGUCCAGACUCCUCCGGGAGGCCGCAGUGGGGAAUAUUGAACAAUGGGCGCAAGCCUGAGGCAGCCAUGCCGCGUGUGUGAAGAAGUCCUUCGGGUUGUAAAGCACUUUCAGCGAGGAGGCGUUACUCGCAGAAGAAGCACCGGCUAACUCCGUGCCAGCCGCCGCGGUAAUAC
rnacentral:rRNA from 1 species